CCUGUCCAAAGAGUCUUGCUGUGUGUGCAAAGUAACAAAGUGCAAAACUAAGAAACCAUUUUUACAUCAGCAAUGACCCAUGGAACUUACACAAAAACAAUCUGUACUGCACAGUACAGCAGCACUUUAAGGCGAUCUUCCAUCCAACCCUCCCACCCAACUCGACUCCAGCUUCCUUCCUCAUUAGGCCCAGCCCAGCCCUGCCCAGUAUAUCACACUGAUUCUAGGAUUACUGCCAUCCCCUGUUGCAACUGACGGAAAAGAAAAGAACAAAAAGCAAAUCAAGGUGACUGUACCACGUUUUGUUUUCGUCAAAUGUCAGCUGGAUCAGCACAAUGUACAUCUCUUUGUUUCUUCUCUUCCUCCUUAUAGGUUCAACUUCUACCAAAGGCCAAGGGGAUUUCGGCAUUUUUACGGCUUGCAUCACUAACAACAGCCUCAGGUUGGAAUGCUAUUAUCAAGUCUGUCCAGAUUCUCCGCCAUUCAACUGUGUAUUUAUGACAUCAAAUGGAUUCCUGCCGGCUAACCCAUCCAAGAUGUGCAAGCUUUUUCUCCCAGAACAUCCUGUGCUGUACACCAAUAAAACCACGAACUACAGCUGCAUACUGACGCGAAGAAACAGGAGAGAAGAGAAGCAAAUUACCAUAGACUACAGUAUACGUAGGGGAAAACAACGCAUCUCACCCUGUUCUGGCACCAAAGGCUACCUGCUACAUCGAUCUCCAACCUUACAAUGGCCUGUAGUGAUUCUGUCUCUGUGGAGGGUCCUCGGUAGCCAAACAACAUGAGGGAUUAGUUGUGGAAGCUUUGACUAACAUAAAUGUAUUCAUUUUCUUUGAUAAACUAAAUAAAUCUAUAUCCAGAUUUCUAUGGAAAGGCAAAUCCUCUAGAGUUAAUCUUUCAACCCUUCAGGCCUCAAAGCCAAAGAAGGAUUUAAUCUUCUCAAUUUUAAAUGUUAUUACCUUGCAGUUUAAUUGUGUUCAAUAUGUGCUGAUUGCACUCUGAGGACAACGAGACGAGACAUCACUUAAAGGGUGUUUCCAUAAAGCACUUCCUUUUCCUAGCCACUAAGAAAACACUCUUAACUAUCACCAAGAAUCCUAUUAUUCUAAACUUCUUUGCUGCAUGGCAAGAUGCCCACACUAUCAUAUGGGAUAACCCCAACAUCCCUUGCCCUAUUGCAGAUGGAACAGUAAAAAACUGGGUUUAAUAGCAGCACAGAAACAGUUGAAGAUUUACACGUCCAAGAUAACUUCCCAAAUGUUUGACAAUUAACUGAAAAUUUAGGCUACCAAAUCAUAAUUUAUUUAAAUUUUCAAAUUAGACAUUGGGUCUGCAAUUUCUAAUAUUUGAAACAGCAACUUCCCAAUCUAUGAUAAGGUCGAUUAAAAACAGAUUGGAAUAAGAUCUCCAAUGCAUUUACAAUGAUGAUGAUUAGUGUAAUAUCCUCGAAAAAACUGAAACUUCAUCUGACCCUAGGGUCUGGAUAUUGGGAGACAUACAAGGACCUAAAGUGAGCCAUAGUAAAAAAAAAA